GAUGAACGCUGGCGGCGUGCCUAAUACAUGCAAGUCGAGCGAACAGACGAGGAGCUUGCUCCUCUGACGUUAGCGGCGGACGGGUGAGUAACACGUGGAUAACCUACCUAUAAGACUGGGAUAACUUCGGGAAACCGGAGCUAAUACCGGAUAACAUGUUGAACCGCAUGGUUCAACAGUGAAAGACGGUCUUGCUGUCACUUAUAGAUGGAUCCGCGCCGCAUUAGCUUGUUGUUAAGGUAACGGCUUACCAAGGCAACGAUGCGUAGCCGACCUGAGAGGGUGAUCGGCCAAACUGGAACUGAGACACGGUCCAGACUCCUACGGGAGGCAGCAGUAGGGAAUCUUCCGCAAUGGGCGAAAGCCUGACGGAGCAACGCCGCGUGAGUGAAGAAGGUCUUCGGAUCGUAAAACUCUGUUAUUAGGGAAGAACAAAUGUGUAAGUAACUAUGCACGUCUUGACGGUACCUAAUCAGAAAGCCACGGCUAACUACGUG
rnacentral:rRNA from 1 species